rnacentral:rRNA from 1 species
UCAGACGAUGCGUCAUGCAUAUCAAUAAGCGGAGGAAAAGAAACUAACAAGGAUUCCCUCAGUAACGGCGAGUGAAGCGGGAAGAGCUCAAAUUUGAAAUCUUGAAAGGUCACCUUUCACGAAUUGUAGUUUAAAGAAGUGUUUUCUGUUACGAUCGUAAUAUAAGUUCUUUGGAAUAGGACAUCACAGAGGGUGAGAAUCCCGUCUAUGAUUGCGAUUUGUAGCUUUGUGAUACACUUUCAAAGAGUCGGGUUGUUUGGGAAUGCAGCCCAAAACGGGAGGUAAAUUUCUUCUAAGGCUAAAUAUUGGCGAGAGACCGAUAGCGAACAAGUACCGUGAGGGAAAGAUGAAAAGAACUUUGAAAAGAGAGUUAAAUAGUACGUGAAAUUGUCAAAAGGGAAGCGUUUAACACCAGUGUUGUUUUCUGAAAAUCAACCUCUGUUAGCUUUAUGCAUGUUUGUUUAGACCUAAUCAGCUAUCUUGCAUGUUCUAUUGUUUGCAGUGGUGCACUUUUCAGUUUACAGGUCAACAUCAGUUUUUUUUACCGUAAAAAAGUUAAAGAAAGGUAGCUCAUGGCUCCGGUCGUGAGUGUUAUAGUCUUUUUCCUAUGCGGUAGGAGAGACUGAGGUCUGCAGUGUAGGCUAUUUGGCUAGAUACUCAGGUGCUAUGUGAUACCAUUUCAUAAACAACUUGUUGAUUAUGUUUUGUCUAUUGCAUACUCGCUUGUACUAUCAUACCUACGCUUAGGAUGUUGAAGACUCUACAGAGAU